rnacentral:tRNA from 3 species
GCCCACGUAGCUCAGGCGGCAGAGCACUUCCUUGGUAAGGAAGAGGUCACCGGUUCGAAUCCGGUCGUGGGCU